UACGGAGGAUGCGAGCGUUAUCCGGAUUCAUUGGGUUUAAAGGGUGCGUAGGCGGUUUUUUAAGUCAGUGGUGAAAUCCUGCGGCUCAACCGUAGAACUGCCAUUGAAACUGAAAAACUUGAAUAUAAUUGAGGUAGGCGGAAUGAGUAGUGUAGCGGUGAAAUGCUUAGAUAUUACUCAGAACACCAAUUGCGAAGGCAGCUUACCAAGCUAUAAUUGACGCUGAGGCACGAAAGCGUGGGGAUCGAACAGGAUUAGAUACCCUGGUAGUCCACGCCGUAAACGAUGUUCACUCGCUGUUUGCGAUAUACAGUAAGCGGCCAAGCGAAAGCAUUAAGUGAACCACCUGGGGAGUACGUCGGCAACGGUGAA
rnacentral:rRNA from 1 species